rnacentral:rRNA from 13 species
ACGCUGGCGGCAGGCCUAACACAUGCAAGUCGAGCGCACCUUCGGGUGAGCGGCGGACGGGUUAGUAACGCGUGGGAACAUACCUUUCUCUAAGGAAUAGCCUCUGGAAACGGAGAGUAAUACCUUAUACGCCCUACGGGGGAAAGAUUUAUCGGAGAGAGAUUGGCCCGCGUUAGAUUAGAUAGUUGGUGGGGUAAUGGCCUACCAAGUCUACGAUCUAUAGCUGGUUUUAGAGGAUGAUCAGCAACACUGGGACUGAGACACGGCCCAGACUCC